rnacentral:rRNA from 1 species
GAUGAACGCUGGCGGCGUGCCUAAUACAUGCAAGUCGAGCGAAUGGAUUGAGAGCUUGCUCUUAUGAAGUUAGCGGCGGACGGGUGAGUAACACGUGGGUAACCUGCCCAUAAGACUGGGAUAACUCCGGGAAACCGGGGCUAAUACCGGAUAACAUUUUGAACCGCAUGGUUCGAAAUUGAAAGGCGGCUUCGGCUGUCACUUAUGGAUGGACCCGGGUCGCAUUAGCUAGUUGGUGAGGUAACGGCUCACCAAGGCAACGAUGCGUAGCCUACCUGAGAGGGUGAUCGGCCACACUGGGACUGAGACACGGCCCAGACUCCUACGGGAGGCAGCAGUAGGGAAUCUUCCGCAAUGGACGAAAGUCUGACGGAGCAACGCCGCGUGAGUGAUGAAGGCUUUCGGGUCGUAAAACUCUGUUGUUAGGGAAGAACAAGUGCUAGUUGAAUAAGCUGGCACCUUGACGGUACCUAACCAGAAAGCCACGGCUAACUACGUGCCAGCAGCCGCCGUAA